AUCGAACGCUGGCGGCAUGCUUUACACAUGCAAGUCGAACGGUAACAGGCCGCAAGGUGCUGACGAGUGGCGAACGGGUGAGUAAUGCAUCGGAACGUGCCCAGUCGUGGGGGAUAACGCAGCGAAAGCUGUGCUAAUACCGCAUACGAUCUAUGGAUGAAAGCGGGGGACCGUAAGGCCUCGCGCGAUUGGAGCGGCCGAUGUCAGAUUAGGUAGUUGGUGGGGUAAAGGCCUACCAAGCCGACGAUCUGUAGCUGGUCUGAGAGGACGACCAGCCACACUGGGACUGAGACACGGCCCAGACUCCUACGGGAGGCAGCAGUGGGGAAUUUUGGACAAUGGGCGCAAGCCUGAUCCAGCAGUGCCGCGUGCAGGAAGAAGGCCUUCGGGUUGUAAACUGCUUUUGUACGGAACGAAACGGUCUGGGUUAAUACCCUGGGCUAAUGACGGUACCGUAAGAAUAAGCACCGGCUAACUACGUGCCAGCCGCCGCAGUAACAC
rnacentral:rRNA from 1 species